UCUUGGCCCACCUUGACGGCUAAUUGUCAGACAAAAAUACCCGUUGCCAUUUACAGCUACACCAUUGUAAAUACUAUCAUAUCAAAUGUUACCAUGUGAUCUUGAUUUUAUCUCGACUAAUGUGAGAAAUAGCCAGACGUUAAUAGAUACAGAGUAGAUGUACACCAGACAAGAUGAACCAGGUUACGUCUGUAUGUCUUUUGAUUGUGUUUAUAGGGGCGUGUACUACACAACUAAUAACGCCAUUCCAGAUAUGUGAAAUGAAAUGUAUUCAAGAUCAUGGUAGUCCACUCGAAUCACCUGAACGCGAAGAUGUUUACAAAGCAUGUCGCACGAACUGUUCAAAAACCUAUUUAUUUGAACACAACUUUGGAAACCUACAAACACUGGGAUAAGAGAUCAUUUCUUCUGCUAAAAAUGUCAAAUUAAAUAAAAUAAGACUACACGUGU